GGAUGUGAGGGUGAUCUGGCUGCGACAUCUGUCACCCCAUUGAUCGCCAGGGUUGAUUCGGCUGAUCUGGCUGGCUAGGUGGGUGUCCCCUUCCUCCCUCACCAUUCCAUGUGCGUCCCUCCCGAAGCUGCGCGCUCGGUCGAAGAGGACGACCAUCCUCGCUAGAGGAGGACCGGUCUUCGGUCAAGGGUAUACGAGUAGCUGCGCUCCCCUGCUAGAACCUCCAAACAAGCUCUCAAGGGAUCAGUGCCUUUAUAAGGAGAGACACUGGGCCGGGUGUGGUGGCUCACGCCUGUAAUCCCAGCAUUUUGGGAGGCUGAGG
ensembl:misc_RNA 7SK 7SK RNA